ACCAGGACCAGCUCUGGGAAACAGGGCUGUAUAUAUUCUGCCUCUUCUCUGAAAGCAGGGAGACACCACCAGAAGAAGGUUACUGCCCAGGAAGCUCUCCAAACCCAGGGAGAAAAGCACUCAGCAUGUCUUACUUGUGAAGAUUUCCAACUGCUGUUUCAUUCGGCAGAAAGAUAAAUGUUAAAUGGACCAUUUUGUACAUUCUGAUGCAUCUUUAACAAAACUCAGUUGAACCAAAAUGAGAAGAAUCUGCUUAGGCCUUGGAAAACAAGGCAUUUCUGCCUUAAUCUUCCGGGAGCUUUAUGAAGUGACAAGACAGGAAGUGAGAUCAGUGGGAGUGAGAUAAUGGUUACAGUAAUCACUGGAGCAGAACUCCAACACAGUAUGAGGCAAGUAAUGCAAUAUUUACUACUGCAUAAAAUUGUGCUUAUGAUGCCGACGUCAACCCUUGAAAAAGCACAGUUCUACCUGAACAGUGUUUAACUUGUAAACUGUAAUAGGAAGUGACUUCUACUCUCCCUCUGCACAACCACUAGUUAUUUUAUUCAGCACAUUAUAUUGACUGCUCUUAGUUCAGGAGCAGAGCAGCAGCACUGCACAAAGAUCAUAGCCCACGAUGGCUGUUUCACAUUAAAACUGCCCCAAGAUUUAGUUGGCCAUUUUAGAGUAGGCUUGUCGAAAGCUACAGCCAACCACUCCAAGGCUAGUAUAUCAAUACUCACACCUCCAUAUUUUAAACCAACACUCUACAAGGGCAGAAAAUCUGAAAGGGUUUCUGGAGUUUUAUCUUUGGUGAUCAUCAUUCAGCCUUCUUUGAGCAAUAAUAAGGCUCCCUCCAAAACAGAUAGCUUUAAAUGGCAGGUCUCCAUCUUAUAGUUUGAUUAUAAUUAGAAACUGAAAUAUAAAUGUUAAAUUACUGGUUACCCUCUCAAACCAAGAAUAAGCAUCUCUUCAAACCAUUUCCUCAGUCCCACAAAAGAAAACCAAUCUUGGGGUUUACUCAACCCCCCCAGAGAGAAAUCAAAGACAAGGAGGUUGCCCUGGGAGGAUGACGGAAGUGGCUUACGAACUAGUUUUUAUAGUGAAGCAACCUCCGGAAUACACUUCAAGGCAUCCUCUCAGCCAACGUCAGAGGCGGGGGCACACCAACCACUACCACCAAGAGACACCUUGUCCCAGUCCACGAUGCGGGUAUUACCAAGCAUGGCACUCUGUACAACAGUCAACUGAAGAAAAUGGGCUCCAGAUGUGGGAGUCUCCUGUGAGAAGUCAGUGACUUGGCAGAACUGUCACAUCAACAAGGAUAGGGAAGCAGAAAUUAAACCUGGACUUUCAGUGGUGAAGAAAGACACAGAUCUGCUUUCUGCACCUUGCAAGCAAGAAACUCGGCUCAUUCUGGGAAUGAUUCUGGUGGUAGUCCUGGUGCUGUCCAUACAUGAUGUACAGCUCACCCUGAAAAGGAAUACAUUCAGGAAUCAAAAAUGGUCCAGCGCAUAUGUUUGCUGUCAUACAUAACAAAUACUUCAGGCCCUGCCAUGAUUCAGUACAUUAUGUGUGGGAGCCAUCUGGUCCCGUAUCUUUAGAAGCAAACUGGAACACCGUGGAUGCCUCAUUGGUAAAAGCACAAACAGUUGAAGUGAGGGAGACGAAAAAGAUCUGUUGACAUUCUACUCAAGAUUCUCCCUCUAGGGGACUGGUUUCAUGACCCAUUUCAUCCUUCCUGCUACUCUAGAGAGUUACAGUCAGGCAGACUGUGCUGUCAGGUCUGUCAGUGUGAACACCUUUGGGAUGCUAAAAAUGGGUUUCAUGUGCUUGGGCAAACCCAGUGGGACAAGAGUUUUCUCAUUAAUCAGCUGUGUCAUAGCAAGCUGUGCAAGAUGUUUGUGUAGCGUGUAUUCCAUAAAACAUUGUUUGAUCUAGAAUUCUGAUUUGUCCUAAACUGCACUAUUAAUCUACCUGCAUGACUGGUCAUUAGUAUCUGCUCAGCACCACGCAGGACCGGGCCCCAUGGUUUUGACAGACUGAAAGAAAGGUCACACCUAGUUUAUUUAGAUGGUCCCAGCUCUAGAAGAUCCAGGAAUGCAGAAGAGUCCUAGGCUGCAAUAGCAGGUGGAUUAUCAGAAGAUGAAGCAGUGAACGCAUUCCAAAUAGAGGAUGGUAGGCUCUGGUACUGCUAAGAUUUGGUGAAGGUUUUGUGUGCAUCUAGGACUAGAUCCUGAGCUGCUGUAAAUUGGUAUAGCUUGAUCAUGGAGUUACGCCACUUUACAGCAGCUCAGUAGCUGGUUUCCAGUGUCCACAAAGCAUAAGAGAAGCAGGCAAACAGAAUGUGCCUAUGUUUGGGAGUCUGCACAGUGAAAGCACGCACCUGAGGCAGGUGCAAGUUUGUUUCCCCAGACACCAAAUUAUUAGAACAGAGAAAAGCAAGAGAUGGGUUUGUUGUUCCAUGAUGGCCGUUCUAAUGAAAGCUCAUUUCAGAGUUUGGCCUGUUUCCAAGAUGGUUAGAUACAAUACUCAGAUUAAUCCAGACCAGCCUUCCUGGUGCCAUGCCCCUUGAGACACAUGUUUGUUUAUUCUAUUACGAAUAAAUCUGAAAAAGUCAAUUUGCUGUGAAAGCAAAGAAGUAAUAAAGAAUGUUAUGCUUAGGCAAAUAAUACAACACUUCCAACUUAAUAUAGUUCAGCUUCGUGUCCGGCAUGCUCCACACCAGACCAGUAUGAGCAAGAUGUGAGUCACUAAUAAAAGAAUAAAUGUUUUUAUUUAUUAUUCACCAGUCUCCAGGGUUUAAAGCCAUUUAAAGUUAGUGCAUUUUCCCAUAUACAUUAUUUAAAACGUAAUAGUUCAACAUAGGUACAGCUAAAGCAGGCAAUAUACACUGCCAAAGUAUCUACUAUGUUGUAUUUCCUUAGAAUGUCCCUGUCCCACAUAAACUCCUGGUUCUAGACAUAAGAGGGUGCUUUGUAUUUAAGGAUGGAGUGGCAGGCAUUAAGUUUCUUGCUUUGAUCAGUGUGUCUCAGCCUUUAUGAACUCACUAGCAAUGGCACUUGAUAGAAUUCAGUUUGAGUGUUAGUAUGUAGCAUUGCUAUGUCUGUUUUCCAAACUAAGUUCCUGGUUUUCUGAAAAUAUUUGAAGACAUCUUUCUAUUUAACUUAUUUUCAAACAAAAUGGCAUCCACCGAGAGGUUAAGAACACAACACACAAAGAACUCCGCAAGACUCCAAAAUAUAAUGCUAUGGACUUUCAUGGCCAAAUUCUGCUCUCAUUUAUACAUGUGCAGAUCUCCUUUGACCUCACUGGUGUAGCAGCAGAAUCUAGCUCUCUGAGUUUUGACAUGCAUUUCCAUUUCACUACUGUCAGGUCCAAAGUGUCUACCAUAUAUGGAUAAAUACAAUUUCAACAUAACUGUCGCAAUUUCCUUGGGAAAGUUACGAUCUCAAAGGAAGUAUAUGAAAAAGUAAGUGUUUACAGUACAUGAAUCCCAGUCCUGUAAUAAGUAUGUGACAGUUGCUGUUGAUUAAUAGUUACACAUGCAAACAAAAAUAUAGGAUCAAAUUUUCCACUAGUUUAGCUGCUCCACUGAGUGCCAGAGAGUUUUGUCCAUUAACACCAGCAGAGAAUUUGGCCCAUAUGUUUAUUUUUAAAAUGUUUAUGUUCUACAGUUGUUCCCUGAUCUUUUAGAGAGAAACAGUGUUUGCACUGAAAAGCUCAAUCCAGCUGUACGUGAAAAAUAGAUGAUGUAUGCAUUCCUGGUGUGUCUGUGUUGUGCAGGGGAGGGUCUAGCUCUGUCCUGCUCACUAUGAAUUGAUUGACAUUUGUACAUAUUUCACUACCUUUUCCUUAGCUGUGAGUGCUACAUAGUUGUAGCUGGAAGGGUUUACCUUAGCAGGGAUAUUAGGUUGCAAGUAGAUAGGUCUCGGUAGGCCCUGAUGCAGGAAAACACAUAAGGAUGUGGUUUCCUAAGCAGAGUUACAGUUGUUAUUCUGUAAACAGAGCAUUUAUUAUUGGUCUGAAAAAAAAUACAGGCACGUUAAUUUCAGCAGCAAGGGAAAACACUGAAUUUAAAAAACAUCAGUGUUUGCAAAAUGGAAAAUGACAAAAUCUGCAGAAAAAAUCUCCCCACACCUCCCCUUUUUCCCCUUCCCCAACCUUCAAAUGGGUAUCGUAGACAAUGGAGAGACAAAAUACAACAUUAACAACAGCUAACAACUUACAUGGCAGUGACCGUUUAGAAAAGACUUUGCAUAUUAUUUUUAAGUUACAGUUUUGCACAUAUGCUGUUCAACAGCUGCUAAUGUUAAAGUCCAAGCAAGGGGGUAUCAGGAAUGCAGGAUCUGAAGGGUUUCAGCAGUUGCUAAAGGCAAAACUUCCUGAAAUUGUAGCAGAUGUUGCUUACUUCCUGUAUGCUUAUCAACCACUGUAAAAAUGUUUCUCCUUUGUAGUUGUUAUGUUGAGCAUAACUAUGGAGAUUCAAGACAGUCUAUGCGACACUGACACAUUGAGUGAUUUACUGUAUAUCUGGUUUUGAAUAAUCAACCAAAGUAUUGUUCUUACUAGAAUCUCCCUGGACGCUUUGAGGAAGUUCAUUAGUCACUGGAUUUGAAAUCAAUGACAAGCAAAUGACAGUACAGGAAAUAAGUCAAAUGUUAUGUUACUACUUUAUUCUGUAAAGAUGGGUUUAAAUAUUACAGACUUACUGUUGCUUACUGCACCUACAAUGGAAUCCUUUUAACUGAAGACUUGAUAAGUAAGUAACUUGCCCAUUUCAUUUGGACAAUUGCCAGAGCAGAGUCAGUGUAAUGCAACUUCAUGAUACUAAACAAUUGGUAAAUGCAAAAAGAAAAGGAGUACUUGUGGCAUCUUAGAGACUAACCAGUUUAUCUGAGCAUAAGCUUUCGUGAGCUACAGCUCACUUGUAGCUCACGAAAGCUUAUGCUCAAAUAAACUGGUUAGUCUCUAAGGUGCCACAAGUACUCCUUUUCUUUUUGCGAAUACAGACUAACACGGCUGUUACUCUGAAAUUGGUAAAUGGCAUGGCUAGUCUGUUUAAAUGGUGUUAAUUGCAAGCCUGUAGUUAAAAGAUGUGAACUAGUAUUUGCUUGCAUAAAUUUCCUGCUGUGCAACCCAUUAUCAACUUCAGCCUGCUUGCCUGCACGUUUAUGGCCAUCAGAUGUGUUAGUUUGGUCUUAAUGUGUUAAUUCUUUGUAUAUUGCUUCUCGCACACUGAAAUAAAGAGCAAUAUA